rnacentral:rRNA from 1 species
GACGAACGCUGGCGGCGUGCCUAAUACAUGCAAGUCGAGCGGACAGAAGGGAGCUUGCUCCCGGAAGUUAGCGGCGGACGGGUGAGUAACACGUGGGCAACCUACCCUGUAGAUCGGGAUAACAUCGAGAAAUCGGUGCUAAUACCGGAUAAUCAUUUGAAGUGCAUGCUUCGAAUGUAAAAGAUGGCUCCGGCUAUCACUACGGGAUGGGCCCGCGGCGCAUUAGCUAGUUGGUAAGGUAAUGGCUUACCAAGGCAACGAUGCGUAGCCGACCUGAGAGGGUGGUCGGGCACACUGGGACUGAGACACGGCCCAGACUCCUACGGGAGGCAGCAGUAGGGAAUCUUCCGCAAUGGACGAAAGUCUGACGGAGCAACGCCGCGUGAGUGAUGAAGGUUUUCGGAUCGUAAAGCUCUGUUGUUAGGGAAGAACAAGUGCCGUUUGAAUAAGGCGGCACCUUGACGGUACCUAACCAGAAAGCCACGGCUAACUACGUGCCAGCAGCCGCAGUAACAC